rnacentral:rRNA from 1 species
UACGUAGGGUGCGAGCGUUAAUCGGAAUUACUGGGCGUAAAGCGUGCGCAGGCGGUUUUGUAAGACAGAUGUGAAAUCCCCGGGCUUAACCUGGGAACUGCGUUUGUGACUGCAAGACUAGAGUGCGGCAGAGGGGGGUGGAAUUCCACGUGUAGCAGUGAAAUGCGUAGAGAUGUGGAGGAACACCGAUGGCGAAGGCAGCCCCCUGGGCCGAUACUGACGCUCAUGCACGAAAGCGUGGGGAGCAAACAGGAUUAGAUACCCCCGUAGUCC